rnacentral:sRNA from 1 species
UCACAAGGUUUCACGCAUUUGUGCGCCU